UACAGAGGGUGCAAGCGUUAAUCGGAAUUACUGGGCGUAAAGCGUGCGUAGGCGGUUCCUCAAGUCCGUUGUGAAAGCCCCGGGCUCAACCUGGGAAUGGCAGUGGAAACUAGGGGACUGGAAUCUGGCAGAGGGGGGUGGAAUGCCGCGUGUAGCGGUGAAAUGCGCAGAUAUCGGGAGGAACACCGGUGGCGAAGGCGGCGACCUGGGACAAUACUGACGCUGAGGUGCGAAAGCGUGGGGAGCAAACAGG
rnacentral:rRNA from 1 species